rnacentral:rRNA from 1 species
CGGACGGGUGAGUAAUGUCUGGGAAAUUGCCCGAUGGAGGGGGAUAACUACUGGAAACGGUAGCUAAUACCGCAUAACGUCGCAAGACCAAAGAGGGGGACCUUCGGGCCUCUUGCCAUCGGAUGUGCCCAGAUGGGAUUAGCUAGUAGGUGGGGUAACGGCUCACCUAGGCGACGAUCCUUAGCUGGUCUGAGAGGAUGACCAGCCACACUGGAACUGAGACACGGUCCAG